UGGCCCCCCUGCUGGGCAGGCAUGCAGGACACUCAAAAAAUCAGGAACAAAACAGGAGGAGCACUGGGGGCACUGCGAUGGGAGCACUCCCUCUGCCCGAGGGGGUCACUGCCAACAUCCCAGGGCCCCAAGGAGGUGCCAGCUUGUCCCAGUGGCUCCGGGAAGGCUCCAGUCUCCAGGAACAAGGUCUCCAGGCUUCUGGCUGCCUUAGUCCAUGUUCCACACCAUAGCGAUGUCUGCGCACGCAAACCUGGUUGGGUCCUUCUGAGAACAGUGGUCCAGCUCUCCAAGGCCUUACAGCCCAGUGAAGUGCACAGUGAGAACAAUCAAGUGGCCUGUCCAGCACCUGAUGUCCUGAGAAGGGGGACCCCAGCCCGAGGCCCUCCCUGCUAUUUCCUGAUUGGCCUGUUUUUGUCAGCGACUCCUGAUAGAAGCACAGAAGAAAGUGCUCCAAAUGUUUAUUACACUUGUUUAUUAGGUGAUAACAACAAGCUGAUUUUUAUUUCUU